AGGUGUUCCCACAGGAGCUGGGAGGUGAGGAAAGAGCGUUGAGCCUGUCCUGCAUGGGACUCUGACAGCUUUGCUUCUUCAUCGACGAGUUCUGAGGUGUCAUUGGAUGAUGUAUAAAGAAGCAGACCGUGUAAACCAUGGGAGCAAGGCAGUAAGCAGUGUUCCUCUGUGGCCUCUGCAUCAGUUCCUGCCUUCAGGUUCCUGCCUUGAGUUCCUGCACUGACUUUCUCGGAUGCUGGACAACAAACUGAGAGAAUAAAACAACAAACUGGACAAUAAAAGCUGAGAGUUCCCCCCCCCCCCUUAGAGGAAGUGAAGACAAGAAACAAAGAAGACUGACAAGGGAAGCUAAACAGGGGACUCUGAGGCAGGGCCAGCUGUCUGGAAGAAGCAGAAACCAGCCAAGCUGCCUGGAAGAGGUUUAGAGCAACUGAGACACCUAGAAAGGAUGGAUGCUCUCCAGCCUGCUGAGAUGUGUGUAGGCUACACAGUGGGCUCUAGGUUCCUAGUUUUAUGAGCUGUCACCCAUGCUGGAGUGGUCCUUGGUGACACAGCAGUCUUUGAGUCAUUUCUGUUCCUGCAAGAAACCCGUCACCCAUAUUCCUGUAAGUAAGCCCAGUAAACAACAAGUUAGA